rnacentral:rRNA from 1 species
AGCAUAUCAAUAAGCGGAGGAAAAGAAACUAACAAGGAUUCCCCUAGUAACUGCGAGUGAAGCGGGAAAAGCUCAAAUUUAAAAUCUGGCAGUCUUUGGCUGUCCGAGUUGUAAUCUAGAGAAGUAAUGCCCGUGCUGGACCGUAUACAAGUCUCCUGGGAUGGAGCAUCAUAGAGGGUGAGAAUCCCGUCUUUGAUACGGACUACCAGUGCAUUGUGGUAUGCUCUCAACGAGUCGAGUUGUUUGGGAAUGCAGCUCAAAAUGGGUGGUAAAUUCCAUCUAAAGCUAAAUAUUGGCGAGAGACCGAUAGCGAACAAGUACCGUGAGGGAAAGAUGAAAAGAACUUUGGAAAGAGAGUUAAACAGUACGUGAAAUUGCUGAAAGGGAAACGCUUGAAGUCAGUCACGUCUGCUGGGAAUCAGCCUCGCUUCUGCGUGGUGUACUUUCUGGUAUGACGGGUCAGCAUCAGUUUUGACCACUGGAAAAAGGUGUGGGGAAUGUGACAGCUCCGGCUGUGUUAUAGCCUCAUAUUGUAUACAGUGGUUGGGACUGAGGAACGCAGCACGCCGAAAGGCCGGGUCUUUGACCACGUUCGUGCUUAGGAUGCUGGCAUAAUGGCUUUAAGCGACCCGUCUUGAAACACGGACC